GAUGAACGCUGGCGGCGUGCCUAAUACAUGCAAGUCGAGCGAACAGACGAGGAGCUUGCUCCUCUGACGUUAGCGGCGGACGGGUGAGUAACACGUGGAUAACCUACCUAUAAGACUGGGAUAACUUCGGGAAACCGGAGCUAAUACCGGAUAAUAUAUUGAACCGCAUGGUUCAAUAGUGAAAGACGGUUUUGCUGUCACUUAUAGAUGGAUCCGCGCCGCAUUAGCUAGUUGGUAAGGUAACGGCUUACCAAGGCAACGAUGCGUAGCCGACCUGAGAGGGUGAUCGACCACACGGGAACUGAGACGCGGUCCAGACUCCUAGGGGAGGCAGCGGUAGGAAAUCUUCGGAAAUGGGCGAAAGCUUGACGGAGAAACGCGGCGUGAGUGAGAAAGAUCUUCGGUGCGUAAAACUCGGUUAUUAGGGAAGAACAAAUGUGUAGGAAACUAUGAGCGUCUGGAGGGAACCGAUCAGAAAGCCACGGCUAACUACGUG
rnacentral:rRNA from 1 species